rnacentral:rRNA from 1 species
GACGAACGCUGGCGGCGUGCUUAACACAUGCAAGUCGAACGGAAAGGCCCCCUUGUGGGGUACUCGAGUGGCGAACGGGUGAGUAACACGUGAGUAACCUACCCUUGACUUUGGGAUAACUUCACGAAACUGGGGCGAAUACCGGAUAGGAGCUCCUGCUGCAUGGUGGGGGUUGGAAAGUUUCGGCGGUUGGGGAUGGACUCGCGGCUUAUCCGCUUGUUGGUGGGGUAGUGGCUCACCAAGGCGUUGACGGGUAGGCGGCCUGGGAGGGUGACCGGCCACCAUGGUACUGAGAUACGGCGCAGACUCGUAUGGGAGGCAGCAGUGGGGAACAUUGCACAAUGGGCGGAAGCGUGAUGCGGCAGCGCCGCGUGCGGGAUGCCGGGCUUCGGGGUGUAAACCGCUGUCGCCGGUGACGAAGCGUGAGUGACGGUAAUGGGUAAAGAAGCACCGGCUAACUACGUG